UUCGCAAUGCCCGAAAGGGUGACGAAGCGACGCCGCGUGUGGGAAGAAGGCCUUCGGGUUGUAAACCACUGUCGGGAGUUAAGAAAUGCAAGGGUGCUAAUAGUAUCCUUGCUUGACUAAGGCUCCGGAGGAAGCCACGGCUAACUCUGUGCCAGCAGCCGCGGUAAUACAGAGGCGGCAAGCGUUGUUCGGAAUUAUUGGGCGUAAAGAGCACGUAGGCGGCUAUGUAAGUCGGUUGUGAAAGCCUUCCGCUCAACGGAAGAACAGCAUCCGAUACUGCAUGGCUUGAGUGCGGGAGGGGAGAGUGGAACUUCUGGUGGAGCGGUGAAAUGCGUAGAUAUCAGAAGGAACGCCGGCGGCGAAAGCGGCUCUCUGGCCCAUAACUGACGCUGAGUGUGCGAAAGCUAGGGGAGCAAACGGGAUUAGAUACCCCGGUAGUCCUAGCCGUAAACGAUGGGCACUAAGUAGAGGGGUUUUA
rnacentral:rRNA from 1 species